rnacentral:rRNA from 1 species
UACGUAGGGUGCGAGCGUUGUCCGGAAUUAUUGGGCGUAAAGGGCUCGUAGGCGGUUUGUCGCGACGGGAGUGAAAACACCGGGCUUAACUCGGUGCUUGCUUUCGAUACGGGCAGACUAGAGGCAUGCAGGGGAGAACGGAAUUCCUGGUGUAGCGGUGAAAUGCGCAGAUAUCAGGAGGAACACCGGUGGCGAAGGCGGUUCUCUGGGCAUGUCCUGACGCUGAGGAGCGAAAGUGUGGGGAGCGAACAGG